UCUUUCUCCCUGUCUUUUUCUUUUUCCUUUUGCCCUUCUUCUUUUUCCUCCAUCUUUUCGUUUUGGUUCCCGCCCAAAGCAAGAAUUGGAAAUUGUCCACGCUUCACAUAAGCUGUUUGGUUUAAGUUUUGAAGAGGAAGGGCCCUUAAAACGAGAUAUUUUGAGGUUGAAUUGGAAGCCUCAUGUCUUGUAAAGCGUUUAAAAGAGAGAGGUUCAACA
rnacentral:ribozyme from 13 species